rnacentral:lncRNA from 10 species
UCCAGAUCUGGUUCAUUUAACCGGGUUCUUUGACUUUCCUCAGUGGUUUUCAGGAUAGAAGGUCUGGCAAGUCUGGCAUGUCAUUCAUUAGAUGUUUUUCUAGCCAUUUGGUGGUUUUUCUUGCCUAGUAAAUAGUAUCUCUUUCCAAACGGUCUUGUGAAGGUAUGACUUACCUACAGUGAGGACAGACCGUAAGUAGACACAGCUUGAUGGAUUGUCACAUGUGUGAUACCCACACAGCCACACGGAGCCUCCUGCCUUUUCUAGUCUCUUCUCCAAAUGGUGAUCAUCACUAUUGGACUUAAAUCAUCAUCAAUUACCUUUGGUGGCCCCUGCACGUCUUACAGGUGGAGCGGCACGGUCUGCGCUUCCAUGUCUGACCCUCCGCUCUGAGGUGGCGGCUGUGCAGGGUGGCGGCUGUGCAGAGUGGCGGGUGUAUUUCCGUGUCUGACCCUGCACUCUGAGGUGCAGCGGCUGUACAGUGUGACGAGUGUGCACCCUUUGUCGGUGAUAACAGUACUGCAUUGCACACAUGUGCCAGAGCCCGCCUGGUCCCCUGCUGACGGACAGCUGCCUUGCUUCCACUGUAGGACUGUGAUAAAUGAAGUUGCUCUGAUCAUCCUGUUCUGGCCUUUACGGGGACAUGUGCCUUUGUCUGUCUUGGCUGUGUGUCCAAGAGUGGCACCACUACGUCAUGAAGGAUGCUUGGGUUUUGCUUUAGAAGAAACUUCCCAUUUCCAAUAUGGUUGUGGCGUUUUGCACUCCCACCUGCCACGUGAGAGUCCUGGUUGCCCCACAUCCUGGUCAACACUGGGUAUUGUCAGGCUGUGUUUUUAGCCAGUCUGGUAGGUGUACGGAUAUCUCAUCGUGGUUUUAAUUCGUGUUUCUCAGGUGACUAGCCAUGCUGAGCACUUUG